AUCAACACAUUACCAAUCCAUACAACUGAAAUCUCCAAUUUCCACCAGACUCAAUUCACCAAACAACAAUAUAAAAUUAAUAAUUAAUUUCUCGUGUCCCAUUUUCACAUCAAAAUUGUGCAUAAGAUUCAAGUUGCAAAACCAAGAUAGAACCUUUACGGCUGAGGGUGUCGACGAAAAGGAAAAAAUGAUUGAAAAUUUAUAGGACUCGCCAGAGAAAUAAGAAGAAGCAGAUAAGGAUGAACCUUACUUCUGGAAAAAGAAAAGAUAAAACUUUGAGGAGGAGAAGGAGCAAGGGGCUGAAGUUGUUUAAAAAGUGGGUACAAAUUAAAACUUUUUAAAAAAUUGGUAUAAGAUUAAAUGGGGACAACCAAAUAGGGCACCCAUACAAUUUUUACACUUUUAUUAAAUGCACAUUUCCAACUUGCUACGAAAACACAACUAAUGUAGCAUAAUCUAUUGUUUAGGUGUGGACUCAUAUAUAGUACUAGUUGCUUAUCCCUUGGUCACCCGUCACACUGUUUGGAAAAAAGCAAAACGUUACGUCCAAAAUUAAUUAUGAACAAGGGUUACAAUUUUUUGACUUUUCCGAACUUGUAGUUGUGGAAAAAUAUUGAAUAUGCAUGCCUCGUAAAAAUGUGAUGUCACGUCUCUUAUCUUUUUUCUUCAAUUCUUUUCAUUCACCUUCUUUUAAAAAGCUCAAAUGUAUAUUAUAAUUACUCAAUAUUUUCCAUUCUACAGUAUCUAUAUAUUUCUGAUUAUACGUGAGUUAUAACAUGUCAUUUCUCUUGAUCCACCAAAUAUAUUAAUUUCUUUUCUCACAUUAUUUUCCAAAAAAUUGAACUCUAAAAACUCUUUUAAGUAUCUCAUUUUGUCCCUAAUGACACUCUUAUAUUAUAGAAACAUCCGAUCAUGUUUCAUACUACAAGUUUAAUGGUACGUUUGAUAUGUGCAAGAGGUUUUUCUUUCUUACAUUUCAUGUCUCGUCAUGCAUCGUCAUAUAAAAUGAAACGGAUAAAGCAUUGUUCCUACUUUUAUUGCGCAUUUCCAACUUUCUACGCAAACACACAAUUAAUGUAGCAUAAUCUAUUGCUAGGUGAACUCAUAUUUGCUUAGCCCUAGGUCAUACUGUCCAACAAAAGAAAAGAUUGUCACAUUUAAAUAUGAAAUACAACUUGUAGUUGUAGUUAUACAGUAUAGUUUGUUCCUGCAUGCUAAAUUACUACCAGAUGAUUAGGAUUGACUUUGAGGGCAGUUUAUACGGGCAUUAUUCAUUGGCAGAAUAUUGUACAUGCAUUCUUGUAUAACAAGAUUCAAUAGUGUAUAUAUAUAAGGCAGUGGAAGCAGAGGCUUUUAAGAGAACACAGGGAAAGAACAAGUUGAGCAAAGCUACAAAUACUUAGUUUUCUCAAGCUUUGUGGUGAAGUAACAAAAGAAUGGCUACAAAACCUGGCAUUCUCACAGAGUGGCCAUGGGCACGCCUUGGGAACUUCAAGUACUUGCUUUUGGCACCAUUUGUGGGUCAUAGCAUAUACUCAUUCUUCAUGGGCAAAGAUGAAAGUCAGAAGGACAUUACAUACAUAGUUAUACUCCCAUAUCUACUAUGGAGAAUAGUUCACAACCAGAUGUGGAUAUCCCUAUCCCGUUACAGGACAGCCAAGGGUGAUAAUCGGAUUCUUGACAAGAGCAUUGAAUUUGAUCAAGUUGACAGAGAACGAAACUGGUAUGUACAUUCCAACCUCACCCACUCCACACUAGUUAAGUGGUAAUAUUCAAACUCGCCUCCAAUUUCUUAGCAAGGAAGAUUUGAUUUUAUAACGAAUAAUUGAACCCCUGGUGGUCAUUAAUGUAACCUCUAUGUAAAUUUCACUUGGAAAAAAUACGACAAAGAUGAUGCCUUGUAGGAUGGAAGCUACAUAUGAUAUCAGAACCACUCAUACAAGCUUAAGUGAUGGUUGGGCAAUUCUCAACUGAAAGCUGAGUUUUAAGCAAAUCUCACAUCAUUAGGAGAGACGGUAGGGAAAAAUCUCAAAUGAGUUCAGGUGAAUCCCACAUCUUACGACAAUGUUGAAUCUUUAAGAGAGGUGGUGUAACACCCUAGGCAAAUCUCAUAUACAGCAAAACAUAAAGAGAGGUUGGGUAUAUAAGAAAACAAACCUUAGAUCCUAGUGACACAUUUUAAGACCUUGUGGGCCUAGCCCAAAGCUGAGAGAGCAGUAGUAGGCUGAACGGUUACAUUACCACACAAAAAAUAAAUAAAUAAAUAAAUUUGUGGGCUGAAUUGCUACAACUAAGACCCUUUUGUGCACUAAAAGUUAUGAUGCAAAUCAAGUGUCCUCCAGCUGAAGAUGUUAUUGGAAAGUUUCAGCCAGAAGAAAAGCUAUACGCCUGCUAGGAGUCAGAAUCUUGGACUAGGUCGCACAUGUCUAAACACUAAACCAUGCUUUGACAGUACUAAUUAGGUUCCGACAGUGUCUAAAAAGAAUCCAACAAAGCAAAAAAGAACGUGCAAAACAAACUGUACAUGACAAAAUUGAUCUAAGGUUGAAGUAUUUUUGUAGGGAUGAUCAAAUCAUAUUUCAUGGAAUGUUAUUCUACAUUGCAUACCUGAAGUUCCAACAGACUCAUCACUUGCCUUUGUGGAGGACUGAUGGGAUCAUAAUAACUGCCUUGAUGCAUCUCGGUCCGGUGGAGUUUCUCUAUUAUUGGCUUCACAGAGCUCUGCACCACCAUUUUCUCUACUCUCGUUAUCAUUCCCAUCAUCACUCCUCCAUGGUUACUGAGCCUCGUUAUCAUUCCCAUCAUCACUCCUCCAUGGUUACUGAGCCCAUCACUUGUAAGUGGUCCUCGUAAACGUUUUGUAUCAUAUGUUUAAUUUGAUGUAGUUUUCUAGAGGCAGAACAAUCAGUCUUGGAGAAAAUACAUCAGAUAUUACAAGGAGCUUAUAUUAAGCCUGACAUAGUAACCUAGAAAAUAAUAUCGACAGUAACCAGUAGAUAAUGUUAAAAAGAUCUUGCAGAAUGGCUGUCACUUAUAUGAUUCAAAUGGGAUGGAUGAGAAUAUAAGUACUUUGUAGAUUGGCUUUCUGCAUAUUAAAGACCUGCCUACUGGCUUGUAGGUCACUUGGUUUCAGUUUAAUUUCAAAGACAAUCAAUGACCUAUCUGCAAAUACUUACAAAGCAAAGUUCUUUAUUGUUGCAGCUGUUAUUCAUCCGUUUGCUGAGAUCGUAGCAUAUUACACGCUCUUUGUUAUACCGGGGGUCACAACUUUUUUCACUGGAACUGCUUCUAUAGCUGCAUUUGGUGUGUACAUCACUUACGUUGAUUUCAUGAACAACAUGGGGCAUUGCAACUUUGAGCUUAUUCCUAAGUGGAUGUUCUCUAUGUUUCCCCCUCUCAAGUACUUGAUAUAUACGCCCUCGUGAGUCUGUUUUCCCUAUAUUUCAAUUUUUAUAGUUAUAGCAUCAACUAUGCUUAAGACGUUUGUUUGGUUUGCCUUGACAAGACCUCACUUACCAUGUGUUUUUUCAUCCUGCUGUGUCUUUUCAUGUUCAACUUUCAUUUGCAACAGCUAUCUUUAACAGGGAUUU